rnacentral:rRNA from 1 species
CCUAACACAUGCAAAUCGAACGCAGUAGCAAUACUGAGUGGCAAACGGGUGAGUAUAAUGUGGGAAUCUGCCUUUUGGUUCGGAAUAACACGAGGAAACUUGUGCUAAUACCGGAUAAGCCCUUACGGGGAAAGUUUUAAUGCCAAAAGAUGAGCCCGCAUUUGAUUAGUUUGUUGGUGAGGUAAUGGCUCACCAAGACUACAAUCAAUAGCUGUUCUUAGAGGAAGACCAGCCACAUUGGGACUGAGACACGGCCCAAACUCC